rnacentral:misc_RNA from 1 species
GAUGAAGAACGUAGUGAAAUGCGAUAAGUAGUGUGAAUUGCAGAAUUCAGUGAAUCAUCGAAUCUUUGAACGCACAUUGCGCCCUUUGGUAUUCCUUAGGGCAUGCCUGUUCGAGCGUCAUUUAAACCUUCAAGCUAAGCUUGGUGUUGGGUGACUGUCCGCUUCACGGCGGACUCGCCUCAAAAUUAUUGGCGGCCGGUACAUUGGCUUCGAGCGCAGCAUAAACGCGAACUCGGGCCCGUCGUAUUGGCUCCCAGAAGCUAUCUUCACAAUUUUGACCUCGGAUCAGGUAGGGAUACCCGCUGAACUUAAGCAUAUCAAUAAGCGGAGGA